rnacentral:rRNA from 1 species
GUUUGAUCAUGGCUCAGAUUGAACGCUGGCGGCAGGCUUAACACAUGCAAGUCGAGCGGGGGAAGGUAGCUUGCUACCGGACCUAGCGGCGGACGGGUGAGUAAUGCUUAGGAAUCUGCCUAUUAGUGGGGGACAACAUCUCGAAAGGGAUGCUAAUACCGCAUACGUCCUACGGGAGAAAGCAGGGGAUCUUCGGACCUUGCGCUAAUAGAUGAGCCUAAGUCGGAUUAGCUAGUUGGUGGGGUAAAGGCCUACCAAGGCGACGAUCUGUAGCGGGUCUGAGAGGAUGAUCCGCCACACUGGGACUGAGACACGGCCCAGACUCCUACGGGAGGCAGCAGUGGGGAAUAUUGGACAAUGGGCGCAAGCCUGAUCCAGCCAUGCCGCGUGUGUGAAGAAGGCCUUAUGGUUGUAAAGCACUUUAAGCGAGGAGGAGGCUACUUUAGAUAAUACCUAGAGAUAGUGGACGUUACUCGCAGAAUAAGCACCGGCUAACUCUGUGCCAGCAGCCGCGGUAAUACAGAGGGUGCAAGCGUUAAUCGGAUUUACUGGGCGUAAAGCGCGCGUAGGCGGCUAAUUAAGUCAAAUGUGAAAUCCCCGAGCUUAACUUGGGAAUUGCAUUCGAUACUGGUUAGCUAGAGUGUGGGAGAGGAUGGUAGAAUUCCAGGUGUAGCGGUGAAAUGCGUAGAGAUCUGGAGGAAUACCGAUGGCGAAGGCAGCCAUCUGGCCUAACACUGACGCUGAGGUGCGAAAGCAUGGGGAGCAAACAGGAUUAGAUACCCUGGUAGUCCAUGCCGUAAACGAUGUCUACUAGCCGUUGGGGCCUUUGAGGCUUUAGUGGCGCAGCUAACGCGAUAAGUAGACCGCCUGGGGAGUACGGUCGCAAGACUAAAACUCAAAUGAAUUGACGGGGGCCCGCACAAGCGGUGGAGCAUGUGGUUUAAUUCGAUGCAACGCGAAGAACCUUACCUGGCCUUGACAUAGUAAGAACUUUCCAGAGAUGGAUUGGUGCCUUCGGGAACUUACAUACAGGUGCUGCAUGGCUGUCGUCAGCUCGUGUCGUGAGAUGUUGGGUUAAGUCCCGCAACGAGCGCAACCCUUUUCCUUAUUUGCCAGCGAGUAAUGUCGGGAACUUUAAGGAUACUGCCAGUGACAAACUGGAGGAAGGCGGGGACGACGUCAAGUCAUCAUGGCCCUUACGGCCAGGGCUACACACGUGCUACAAUGGUCGGUACAAAGGGUUGCUACACAGCGAUGUGAUGCUAAUCUCAAAAAGCCGAUCGUAGUCCGGAUUGGAGUCUGCAACUCGACUCCAUGAAGUCGGAAUCGCUAGUAAUCGUGGAUCAGAAUGCCGCGGUUAAUACGUUCCCGGGCCUUGUACACACCGCCCGUCACACCAUGGGAGUUUGUUGCACCAGAAGUAGCUAGCCUAACUGCAAAGAGGGCGGUUACCACGGUGUGGCCGAUGACUGGGGUGAAGUCGUAACAAGGUAGCCGUAGGGGAACCUGCGGCUGGAUCACC